rnacentral:lncRNA from 1 species
AUUUUUAAUGCAAAGCUUAGGUGCUUCCACAGCCUGCAUCUUUUCACAACUGUCAGCAAUUGGGGGUGUCCCUAACACUUUCGCAAACUGGAGCAGGGGCGUCCUUUCUGCUCAACCUCAAUGACCUCUUUAACUGCUCCCAUCCUCCCGGUAGUUACCAUGGCAGUCACCAUUUUCGACGGCCACUCACCAGUUCUUCCCAUGAAAUUCUAGAACACAAAGAAAAUAGUCUCUCUCUAGACACUUGGGUCACAAUAGGAAAAACAUGGGUGUUGGCAGCCACGAUCUGUCACAUGCACUGAGGAGUAGAGGAAGCUGGUCUGUAACAGAAAAGAAGAACUCAGAAGCACUGAGGGAAGCUAAGCGAUGGGGAGAGAGACAGAACAGAGCAUAAGCCUAACUUCUUCACGUUUUGACAUCUAACCACUGGAGCUGAAUCUGUCCAUCCGGCUCUGUGGCUAAGAGGGUUGUGUGGAGCUUAAGAAACUGAUCCUGGGCGAAGAUCAUCCUGUAUAUUCUCAGCAUACGGUAACAUCACUACUGAUCAACUUUCUAUGAAUAUUAAAAUUGUCCCAGUACAAACAGCUCAGCCUGUCGCUCAUCAAGGACCUCUGACACUACUAUGUUUCACAGCAAUCAGCAACAAUGCCAUGUGCUUCCCCAGGGAGGUAACAGAUACUCUUAGGAGCCACAAACGAAGGAAAAGUACAUAGGGGGACAAUAACAUGGCCCUGCAAGGGUUUUCUGCACAAGAUUCCCUUUGUCUCUUGCCAGAGAUAGAAAAUGAUACACACGCAAAUCAGGAGUAACUGCCUUGGAAAGAAAAACUGGUAAAAGAAACAUUCAGCAGAAUGAAAAAAUUCUGAACCCAGUGACACCUGUCUGUAACAUUUAAGUGGAAUCUGCAAACACUGAGCAACAGUUUCCGAAAGCAGCUAACAAAGAGCUUGUAGCACCUGGAGCUCCACCCACUAACUAGCUGGACCAACAGCUGAUACUUCAAAGUAAAGGCUGAGACUUCUGUCACAAAAAUUGUUCAGUAAAAAGGCCAACUUCUUAGCCCUAAACAGACAAGAAGAGAUCUGAUACAACAGAAAUUUUAAUCCAGUGGCUCUACUAUGCCCAUUCCAAACUGGGAGACAAUGUCCAAGUGUUAAGACUACCAAAAGGAGGGGCCGCCCCCGUGGCGUAGUGGUUGGGUUCAGC